rnacentral:rRNA from 1 species
CAGUGGCGGCGUGCUAAUACAUGCAGUUGAGCGCUGAAGGUUGGUACUUGUACCGACUGGAUGAGCAGCGAACGGGUGAGUAACGCGUGGGGAAUCUGCCUUUGAGCGGGGGACAACAUUUGGAAACGAAUGCUAAUACCGCAUAAAAACUUUAAACACAAGUUUUAAGUUUGAAAGAUGCAAUUGCAUCACUCAAAGAUGAUCCCGCGUUGUAUUAGCUAGUUGGUGAGGUAAAGGCUCACCAAGGCGAUGAUACAUAGCCGACCUGAGAGGGUGAUCGGCCACAUUGGGACUGAGACACGGCCCAAACUCCUACGGGAGGCAGCAGUAGGGAAUCUUCGGCAAUGGACGAAAGUCUGACCGAGCAACGCCGCGUGAGUGAAGAAGGUUUUCGGAUCGUAAAACUCUGUUGGUAGAGAAGAACGUUGGUGAGAGUGGAAAGCUCAUCAAGUGACGGUAACUACCCAGAAAGGGACGGCUAACUACGUGCCAGCAGCCGCGGUAAUACGUAGGUCCCGAGCGUUGUCCGGAUUUAUUGGGCGUAAAGCGAGCGCAGGUGGUUUAUUAAGUCUGGUGUAAAAGGCAGUGGCUCAACCAUUGUAUGCAUUGGAAACUGGUAGACUUGAGUGCAGGAGAGGAGAGUGGAAUUCCAUGUGUAGCGGUGAAAUGCGUAGAUAUAUGGAGGAACACCGGUGGCGAAAGCGGCUCUCUGGCCUGUAACUGACACUGACGCUCGAAAGCGUGGGGAGCAAACAGGAUUAGAUACCCUGGUAGUCCACGCCGUAAACGAUGAGUGCUAGAUGUAGGGAGCUAUAAGUUCUCUGUAUCGCAGCUAACGCAAUAAGCACUCCGCCUGGGGAGUACGACCGCAAGGUUGAAACUCAAAGGAAUUGACGGGGGCCCGCACAAGCGGUGGAGCAUGUGGUUAAUUCGAAGCACGCGAAGAACCUUACCAGGUCUGACAUACUCGUGCUAUUCUAAGAGAUAGAAGUCUUCGGGACACGGAUACAGUGGUGCAUGUUGUCGUCCAGCUCUGGUCGUGAGAAUGUGGUAGUCCCGCCACGAGCCCACCCUAUUGUAGUGCAUCAUAAGUGGCACUCUAACGAGGAACGUGCGGGUAUAACGAGAAGGUGGAUGACUCAAUCCUACAUGGCUUAGACUUGCUCAAGUCCAAUGAUGUACAGUUCCGGACG